GCUCAUUUCUUCUUAUCCGUACUCUCGCCCUCCGCACUAUAAAUAGGGUACUCCGGUUGCAGCGUCACCACGCACUUCACUUGCAUAGUCUUCUUCCCUUGAGAUUUCUCUGGUGAUCCACGAGCCUUGCAUGAUGAAAAUGGCUUCCUCUAGGGUUUUUCUCCUGUGCGUCCUCCUGUUGGCCGUUGUUGUUCUCAUGGCCGCCCAAGUCUCAGCUCGUGACCUGGCUGAGUCAAAGGAGGAGCUUGAAGGAGGCAAGCCAGGUGACGAAGAAGGCGGUGACGCCGGUGGG